ACAACAGAGAUGGCACUGAGCAUGACGGGUGGCUCUCCAGCGGACGUGGAUUCUGGUGGACGCGUGGCAUUGGUAGAACAACAUUUGCUGCUCCUCCUGACCCUGCCGGGGCUAGAGGAGGGGCUUGGGGGUAUCUUCCCAGAGGGAAUGCAAUAAGAGUCACACUGUCCCUCACUGAAGCCACCCUGACAUCCCCUUCCACCCAGUGGCAUUUGCAACUGUACAGGGACAAAGCACGUGAGGGAAGGGGGUGCCGUGCUCAUUGGUGUGACUGACUGGUCCACAGACAGGAUUGUGUUUUUUCUGUAGGGGCUGUUACACGAACAUGUCGUUGACUAAUGAGCAUGAUUAUCAAAUGAUUCCUGUGAGUUGGUUGGGGGGAAAGGACGAAGGAGUAGCCUUUGGGGUGGGAGGGUUCGGCACCAGGUGAGGCUCAGGCCUGCCCACCCCCACCCCUGCUCUGUUUCCCGCUUCCCCGGCAGCUCUGGGUGGCCUUCCCCAGCCUGCUCUUGGCUGGUCCCAGGCUGCACACGCUGCUGUCACUCACUGCUGCUGCUCGGUUCCCGGGAGUUCGGCUUGUUCCUGAGUGAGCUAACAGGAGGCUCGGGAGGGCUGGGCACAACCUGGAGCCUGCGUCUGCCCAGCCAGCCCUCACAGAGUGACCCUUGCCUUGCCUGGGGCCCCCAGAUUUCAGGUGACAACUGCUUUUCACUUUCCCGUCUUUGGAGACCUAUAAAUGCUCCCAGCCAGAACACGUGGGAGGGUGUG